rnacentral:siRNA from 1 species
CAUCACUGGAACUUCUAAUUCCU